rnacentral:lncRNA from 1 species
AUGCCUGAAGAAGUUGGUUCAAGAGCUCUUGCAUGAGUUCAUCCUCAGUAAAUGGCAGCAUUCCCUACAGUGGAGGUUAGUAUCAUCAUCAUCACUUUAGCUGUAACAAAACAAGACAAGUGACUUCAGUGAUCAAGCAAAACAUGUACCAAAAGUCAAGUUAUCCACAAGGGAAUAUAGCAGUAAGCAAUACCUAGUGAUCUAAAGAAGCAACUUGCAAAGGAGAGGAAAAAAAAAAAAAAAGUCGGAAUUUGAGAUAGUUCCUGCCCAAAUAACAUAUUGGAUCUGUGACACUUUGUUCUGGUACUAAUUUCCUGGCAGCACUCACCACACACAGUUUCUGUUCCCUGGCAAUAACUAACAACACUACCUGUACCUUCGCAGAUGGUUUGGUGGUGUAUAUAUCUUCCUAGAAGCACGUAAUUUGUUUCCCAGCUGUGAUGUAUUUGCCAGAGAUUUUCAACUGUCAAAACAACCCCCUUCCUUGCUCAUGAUCUCACCGCUGUGUACCCAUUAGGCUCCUGUCCAGCCCAGAAAGACCAUGGUGACAUGCAUUGCUGAGCACUGGCCUGUGCUCUCAUGAUGAAGCGCUAAGUUGAAGUUGGCUUGAGAGAGCAGCAGUCAGCCUGGAAGAAGACCUGGGAGAGGACAUGACACUAGCCUGUCACUUUUUGCAAGACAGUCUCAGAGCGAGGUUGUGUAAAGGAUGAGAUCUUUCUUCUGCUGCCAUUACAGACCAGGAGAAGAGAUGCUAACAGCCUCUCGUGUACCAGGAUGGAAGGCAGCUGACACAAAAAGUGUGGAACCAGAAAAAAAGUGAAGCCACAGAUUUUGCAAAGAGAGACACUGUUUGGCAAUUUACUGAAGCUUGUUAUUAUUGGUUUUGAGUUAGCAUCUUUUGUCUCUCCAGUUUUUAUGAUCCAGGAAAUCCAUUCAUCACAAUUCUGGAAUGCUGGAAAACUCACUGAGGAACUACAAAGGGCAGGCAGGGCGAAUCUUCUGGGCUUUAAAUCUUCCCCAGCCAGGAGGAAUUCUGAAAGGAGGAAAACAGCUGGGAAACACAUCCAUGCCUCCUGCAAAGGGGAUGGAGGCUGUCUGGAUCCCAACAGCAUGGCACUCUUCCUGCCCAAACACAACUUGUCACCGUGCUUUUUGUGCCGGGGUGGACAAGAGAAGGAGUAUCAUAUAUACAAUAUAUACAGAUGCAUUUGUGUGCAUGCUUACUUAAGUGUAUGUGUGUAUGCAUAUGUAUAUAUAUAUACACGUAUACAAAUAUACAGUGUGACUAUAUAUACAAACAUACAAAUACACAGAACAGCUAUGUGAUCUAACUGAACUACACUCUGUAGCGGCUUUAUUUGGAAAACCAUCCCCACAGAUUCAUCUGCACUGAUAUGUUUACAGUGAAAUUCUAUCUACAGCAUAAAAACCUUGAAUAUUGCCUCUGAAGCAAAUUUGCCCUUCACCAUGUUUUGUGGCAUGCAAUGUUAUAGAAAAUUGUUUUGAUGUUUUUCCUUAAAAAAAAUAAAUAAAUCAAAACCCACA